UACGGAGGGUGCAAGCGUUGCUCGGAAUUAUUGGGCGUAAAGGGUAUGUAGGUGGUCUCAUUUGUCUAGGGUGAAAGCCUUGAGCUUAACUCAAGAAGUGCCCUAGAAACGGUGAGACUGGAGUCUUGGAGAGGGUCGUGGAAUUCCCGGUGUAGCGGUGAAAUGCGUAGAGAUCGGAAAGAACACCAACGGCGAAAGCACUCUGCUGGGCCGACACUGACACUGAGAGACGAAAGCUAGGGGAGCGAAUGGG
rnacentral:rRNA from 1 species